ACUGCAGGGCCCGGUGAAGAGUAGGCAGGGCAGUGUGCUGCUGGCUCUACUGAGGCUCCUCAAGGGAGAGUCAGGGCGCCCAAAAAUUCACCUGUCUCUGCUGUCUCUUGGCCAUGAGUGAAUUCCCAUCUUUGGCCCCUGUGGAGUCCUCGUGGAUCCAAGUAAGCAGAGGCCCCCAGAGUUCCCCAGAGGAUGUUCCUGCAGCUGUUUCAAAGCCUCGACACAGCCUGGGCAUUCUCCAUGUCUCCUACAGUGUCAGCCACCGAGUUGGGCCCUGGUGGGACUUCACAUCUUGCCGGCAGCAGUGGGACAGGCAGAUCCUCAAAGAUGUCUCCUUGUAUGUCGAGAGUGGGCAGAUCAUGUGCAUCUUAGGGAGCUCAGGCUCAGGGAAAACCACACUGCUGGACGCCAUGUCCGGGAGGCUGCGGCGCAAGGGGACCUUCCUCGGAGAGGUGUUUGUGAAUGGCCGGCUGCUACGCAGGGAGCAGUUCCAGGACUGCUUUUCCUAUGUCCAGCAGAGCGACACACUGCUGAGCAACCUGACUGUGCAUGAGACGCUGCACUAUGCAGCGCUGCUGGCUGUACGCCACCGCUCUGCGGGCUUCUACCGGAAGAAGGUGGACACAGUCAUGGUAGAGCUGAGUCUGAGCCACGUGGCAGAUCGACUGAUUGGCAACUACAACCUUGGGGGGAUUUCCAGUGGCGAGCGGCGCCGGGUCUCCAUUGCAGCCCAGCUCCUCCAGGAUCCCAAAGUCAUGUUGUUUGAUGAGCCUACCACGGGACUGGACUGCAUGACAGCAAAUCAGAUCGUUGUCCUCCUGGCAGAGCUGGCUCACAAAGACCGUAUUGUGAUUGUCACCAUCCACCAGCCACGCUCCGAGCUCUUCCAGCUCUUUGAUAAAAUUGCCAUUCUGAGCUACGGAGAGCUAGUUUUCUGUGGGACACCAGCGGAAAUGCUUGAUUUCUUCAAUGGCUGCAGUUACCCUUGUCCCGAACAUUCAAACCCUUUUGACUUCUAUAUGGACCUGACAUCAGUGGAUACCCAAAGCAAAGAACGGGAAUUAGAAACCUACAAGAGAGUCCAGAUGAUUGAAUCUGCCUACAAAGAAUCAGCAAUUUAUCGCCAAACCUUGGAGAACAUUGAAAGAACAAAACACUUGAAAACAUUACCAAUGGUUCCUUUCAAAACCAAAGAUUCUCCUGGAACUCUCUCUAAACUGGGUGUUCUCUUGAGGAGAGUGACAAGAAACUUAAUGAGAAAUAAGCUGGCAGUGAUUAUGCGUCUUGUUCAGAAUCUGAUCAUGGGUUUGUUCGUCAUUUUCUACCUUCUGCGGGUCCAGAAUGAUGUGCUGAAGGGUGCUGUCCAGGACCGUGUGGGUCUCCUAUACCAGUUUGUGGGUGCCACCCCAUACACAGGCAUGCUCAACGCUGUGAAUCUGUUUCCUUUGCUGCGAGCUGUCAGCGACCAGGAGAGCCAAGACGGAUUGUACCAGAAGUGGCAGAUGCUGCUGGCCUAUGUGCUCCAUGCCCUCCCCUUCAGUGUCCUUGCCACCAUAAUAUUCAGCAGUGUGUGCUACUGGACUCUGGGCUUGUAUCCUGAGGUUGCCAGAUUUGGGUAUUUCUCUGCUGCUCUCUUGGCCCCCCACUUAAUCGGUGAAUUUCUAACUCUUGUGCUACUUGGUAUGGUCCAAAACCCAAAUGUGGUCAACAGCAUAGUGGCUCUGCUCUGCAUUGCUGGGAUACUUGUGGGAUCUGGAUUAGUAAGAAACACAGAAGAAAUGUCCAUUCCUUUUAAAAUCUUCAGUUAUUUUACAUUCCAAAAAUACUGCUCUGAGAUUCUUAUAGUCAAUGAGUUCUAUGGACAGAAUUUCACUUGUGGCAGCUCAAAUGGUUCUGUGACAACUAAUCCAAUGUGUGCCUUCACUCAAGGAAUUCAGUUCAUUGAGAGAACCUGCCCGGGUGCAACAUCCAGAUUCACAACCAAUUUUCUGACUUUGUAUGCCUUUAUUCCAGUUCUUGUCAUCCUAGGAAUAGUUGUUUUUAAAAUAAGGGAUCAUCUCAUUAGCAGAUAGUAAAGAACAUUGCCACAAAAAUGGAACUUAAGCCCAAUUGUGCAUGACUACUUUGAAUGUCUGAAAUAAGAAAGCCAUAUGUUUCUUAACAGUACAUCUUAAGUCUUUUAACCACUUGAACUCCAUCUGUGCCCCCUCAGAUCCAUGCUGGCCUUGAAUGAUAGUCUGACUUGUAGGACAUGGGCUAUUUAGAAAUUGUGAGUGGGCUAGUCCAAAAAUGUAAAUAGUAAUAACUUACAAUCUUUCAUAAAAUUAUGGGAGACUAGUGUGACUGUUUUCUUUGUUCUAGACACAGAAAAAUAGGUCAGUUAAAAAAUUAUGCUUACAGGGCGCCUGGCUGGGUCAGUCGGUGGAGCAUGCAAUUGUUGAUCUUGAGGUUGUGAGUUCGAGCCCCACACUGGGUGUAGACUAAAAAUUUAAAAGAUCUUAAAAAAAUUGUUUACAAACAAAAUUAUGAUUACAUUUAAUAAAAGAUUUGGUGAGAAGAAGAUAUUUGAAUGGUUACUGACUGUAAGUAACAGAAAAGAGUGUUGUGGGUUUGAGUGAAGCAAAGCAUCAUGCAGAACUGGGUGGGAAUGCUUCAUCACUGAAAAAUCCACAUUUAUUUGUACACGUUUACAUGAGGGUCUGAGUUACCCAAUCACAGUGAAAGGAUGUUGGACAGAUGCUGGAUGAUGAAGACCCCUGAUACAGAGCACUCAGGGAUUUUUUUGGGAGUUAAAACGUCCAGGAAUGGGCUGAACUGAGAACACAGCAUGCCAGACAGACCUCGGGUAAUUCAUGUACAAGUCUGAAAAGACCCUGUCUCAAUGUUACCAUGGUAAUGCUGAGGGAGAACAUCUUACACUUGGGCAGGGUGCCUGUCUGCACCUAAGAAUGAGGUUCUUUGGAAACGUGCUGAAUCCUGUUGUCAGGAGUGCUGGAAACCACAUGCACUGCUAAGAGUUUAUGAAGUCUUAUUACUUCAUUGCAGUUAUCAGGGAGUUUGCUCUCCACUCAGAUACCACUCAUCAGUUUUCGUGUUCUUGGGAGAAUGGAAGAACAGGGCUGGUCACACAGCCAUGUCACAAAGAAUGAGUGGUGUUAUACAGAACUCACCAUGUCUACUAGACCUUCAAUACUGCUGCCAUAGGAAGUCAAAAUAAUAUGAUGCUCUAAAGGAAGAGCAAGUAAGAGGAUUUUCUUUACACUGCAAUUCUUUGUGGUUGCUUUAAAGAGCCACUUUAUUUAUUUUUAAAGAUUUUAUUUAUUUAUUCAUGAGAGACAGAGAGAGAGGCAGAGAUGUAGGCAGAGGGAAGAGCAGGCUCCAUGCAGGGAGCCUGAUGUGGGACUUGAUCCCGGGACUGCAGGAUCACACCCUAAGCCAAAGGCAGAAGCUCAACCACUGAGCCACCCAGACAUCCCUAAAGAGCCAUUUUAAAAAUGAAUGUAAAACUAAGAAAAGGUUCCACCUUGCCUCUUAAGAACCUCUCUAAGGUUUUCAACCAUAAAUGGACCACUGUCUUAAAACACUUGAAGAUUGAAGAUGUUUAAAUAAAGGACAGUAAGAACUUUUCCCCCCUAAACAUGUAAAUGAGUAUGUCUUUAAAUUAUAGGUUUAGGGAGUAUGAACAAGUUGAUUUUUGAAAACGGAUUCAAAAUAGAUAUGUAUGGUUGGCCAAGAAGACCUUAAAGAUAUUGUUUACCCACUUUUUUGUUGUUGUUUUCUUUGGCAAUAAAAAUAUAAAAAAGAGGUAGAAAGAUUUAGCAAGUGCUUUCUAUACAUAUGUCCCCUUAAAAUCAGGAAUGCCUUAAAACUAGAGGGCUUUUUAAAUUAUGGAAGCAGAGCAGCCACGGUGGCUCAGUGGUUUGGCGUCACCUUCAGCCCAGGGCCUGAUCCUGGAGACCUAAGAUCAAGUCCCAUGUCAGGCUCCCUGCACAGAGCCUGCUUCUCCCUCUGCCUGUGUCUCUGCCUCUCUCUCUCUGUCUCUGCCUCUCUCUCUCUGUGUCUCUCAUGAAUAAAUAAAUGAAAUCUUAAAAAAAAAAAAAAAUGGAAGCAACCCAAGUGUCCAUCGUUAGAAUGGAACUUGUGAGUUAGCCUCUUCAUCUUAGAAAUGACAUGCUCUAAUUUCACUGGCAAAACUUAAAAGGCCCCAAACUUUGUUUUUGUUUCUUCCCUGAUGAAUAAGACACUAAUAAUGGGGCUUGGGGAUGGAGAAGAUAGGAGGAUCACAUGUGGUCUCAGACAGGCUUAGGGCCAGCCCUCUACUCCUAUGCAACUAUAUUAGAUCUUAAUGAAACAGGACAUCAUCUGUUCUCCCAAGAAGCACAAGAAUCAGAAGCAUUUGGGUUAAAGGCAUGUAGACAUAUGGCACACAGUAUGAGCUUCCCUGAGCAUUUACAGGUUGGUUUUAAGUAAGGACAGCUUACAUAAUUAUGGAAAACCCUGAGUGAGACAUUUCUUUUAAAUGAAUAUUAUUUUGUUCCAAAUGGCAAACAAAAUCAAUCUAAAGAUUAUAAUGCUACUUUCACUGAAAAAUGUCAUGUGGCAAUAAUCAUAUUAAAAGAUCAAAAAGAGGGGCGCCUGGAUGGCUUAGUUGGUUAAUAAGCAUUUGCCUUGGACUCAGGUCACGAUCCCAGGGUCCUAGGAUUGAGCCCUGAGUUGGGUUCCCUGCUCAGCAGGAAAGCUUCUCCCUCUCCCCCAGCUCAUGCUCUGUCUCUUGCUCUCUCACAUAAUCUUAAAAAAAAAAAAAAAAAAGGCAAUGUGAAUGAAGAAAGAGCUGUAGACAACUGGCUAGAUUUUCAAGUAAUGCCAGAUGAAUUCUUUCAUAGGCUGUGUUAAUAGCAAAGAAUGAUAGGUAUUGUGGGGUUGCUUUCCAGUUCCAUUCCAAAUUCCUACAGUUUUAGGUCAGUUAGGGAAGAUGGAUUUAAAUGUGAAAAGUCUUGCUGAAAAACACUCCAGCCCUUUCAUAAUAUCUGUGUAUGUAAGUGUAAUAAAAGGGGUCACCAUGCAAUAUAAACAGAUACUCUUAACAAUGGCAGUUAGUCAUUGACUCCUCAGUAAAUAUUAAUUCAGGGAUGGCUUGCAACUAAUUUUUAGCUGAGCUGCACAUAAAUAAAGGUUGUAUGAGGCCAUCUGACUGUUCCUACAACACGCCUCUAACUUUGCUACAGCAACAAAACCCCCUAAAUAUUCCUGACAUAGUUUUUAAUUCUCCUGGAUUAUGUUUAUUUAUUAAAAGAUUUUAUUUAUUCAUUCAUGAGAGACAAGAGAGAGAGGCAGAGGGAGAAGCAGGCUCUUCACAGGGAGCCCGAUGCAGGACUCGAUCUCCAGACUGGGAUUACGCCCUGAGCCAAAGACAGGUGCUCAACCACUGAGCCACCCAGGUGUCCCUAGAUUAUGUUUAAAUAGGAUGUUUUGCUUUUUUAUUCUGGGGCCCCUGAAGGUGAAAGGCUAGUGCUGAAAAAAAAUACCCCAAUCUGUGCUCCUGUGGACAGUUGUGUUCAGAUUACCCUUGCAACAAUGUGAUGGCCCAAGUGACACAGCUCUACAAAUCCCAUCUGAGAGACUGUCAGAGCAUUCAAUUUAUAGUGUUUGUUGAUGUAAGUUUGGAUUCUGCACAAUGUCUCAUUUUAGAGAUCUGAGAAAACCUAAGUAUCAGGUCAUGAUGAAUUUACCAGCUUUUGCAUUCUUACAUCAGAUUUCAUAUCACACCUGGUGCUAGCUGGACAUAUAUGGAACACAGUCUCCAUUCUUAACUACUUUCCUGAGAGAUCCUGUCUUUGUGUGCUUUCAGACUGGGUAGUCCGGAAUUUUCCUGGUACAAGAAAAGUUUAAGUAUGUCUGAAUAUUCCAACAAAAAACAAAAUCAUUUAAAUGAUUCCACAAACAAAAGAAUAUUGUGAAAGUGUCCCCCCAACAGCAAGAGUAGUAAUCUAUGGUAUGGAGUACCAUACCAUAGCACAGGUUUAAAUAACAUCUGGUUGUUACUAGUUUGGGACUAUUACAGAUGAAGCCACCAUGAACAUUUGUGUAUGGAUUUUUAUGUGAACAUAAGUUUUAAUUUUUCUAAGAUAAAUGCCAAGUAAUGUAAUUUCUAGCUCAUACGGUCGGUACACGUUUAGUUUUAUAAGAAACUGAACUUUUUUUUUAAUUUUUUUUUUUUUUAAUUUAUGAUAGGCACACAGUGAGAGAGAGAGAGGCAGAGACACAGGCAGAGGGAGAAGCAGGCUCCAUACACCGGGAGCCCGACAUGGGACUCGAUCCCGGGUCUCCAGGAUCGUGCCCUGGGCCAAAGGCAGGCGCCAAACCGCUGCGCCACCCAGGGAUCCCGAAACUGAACUGUCUUGAAGAGUGGUUGUAUCAUUCUACAUUCCCACCAGCCAUGUAUGAAUAUCCAGUUUCUCCAUUCUUGCCAGCAUUUGGUGUUAUCAUUUUUUGUUAGCUAUUCUUAUGAGCACAUUGUGGUUUCAAUUUGCAUUUUCCUAAUAAUUAAAGAUAUUAAAUAUCUUUUCAUGUACUUAUUUGCCAUUUGUAUAUCCUCUUUGGUGAUAUGUCUGCUCAUGUCUUUUGCCUGUUUUCUAACUGGAUUUUGUUUUUACUGUUAAGUUCUUUAUAUACCCUAGAUAAUAAAUCCUUUGUCAGAUAUGUAGUUGAAAAUCUUUUCUCUCAGAAUGUAGCAUGUCUUUUAUCCUUUUCAAAUGGACUUUCAAGAACAAAAGUCUUUAAUUUUGAUGAGGUCUAAGCUCCAUGAUAUUUAAAUUUAGUAAUUCUCAUUUCUUUUUUGACCUCCAACUACUUAUAGGGGCAUUAUCUA